CGCCCGAGUUUUCUUUCCCCGAUCCUUUUCCCCUUCCUUGUUCUCGCCGGCACAUCCUCCCUCCCAGCUUCUCCACCACAUCUACUAUCGCCGGUGCUGACACGGCUUCGCUGCCUCACCGUGUGUUAAGGGCCGAUCGUUCAUUGUCACCUGACGUCGCUGAUCGCCGCCUAUCGCCGAUUCAGCCCUAGCAAUGGUACUUAUCCCGAUCCCCUCCCUUCUCCUCUCAUGAUUCUGCCCUAGAUGGCCGACCGUGCCUCCUCACGCCACUGCCAGAUGCCAUUCCACAGCUGUAGUUGUCGGUUAAGCCCAGUGUCGCGAUUAUCCGAGGGUCGGCUUACCACAUCUCUCUCUCUCUCUCUCUCUCUCUCUCUCUCUCUCUCUCUCUCGAUUUGUUGGUUGUGCCCUAGCUCCGAUUUGUCGAAUAUCGCAGCUCCAAUUCUCCUGUCCUUGACAUCUUGUUGCAGUCUUCUCUUGUGUCCAACUAUCGCGACCAGGUGCGAGCCCUAGUUUUAGUUCAUUGCUGCAUCCUUCUUCUUGAUUGGAUUUCGACAUGGAUAUGAUGGAUCGCUACUUGAUCUCUUCAGUCGAUCUCUGUUUUGGUCAGAGGUUUCGUUCUGUCUUUUUCUUAUUUAGGGAUUCCGAUGCAGUAACCAGGUCAAGCUUUAGCUCCACGAAUCAGUUGCGGUUGAUGAGGGAAUUUGACAUGGCAAUAAACAACUCUAUCUUGUUCCAACCACAAUCCUCGACAGCGAGCAUUUCUUCGGCAGUGAAUCAUCAAGGGAGCAUCUGAGAUUUGGGUAGCAGGUAAAGGACUUAUGGAGUCGCUUGGAGGUCUUGUCUGCCAAUCCCACGUCACAUCUGAGGAUGAUCUUCUAGUUUUGGUUUCCUUUGCUAUUUGUGUUUUGGUUUUGUGAUCUUGGUAUUGUAAUAAUUCGAUGUCGACUUGGAGUUUUGUCUUGUGGUAUCUUGUAUUGGUUUUGUAAUGUUGUGUCAAGCCGAGCCGGCUCGCAGUUAGUUAUUUUAUUCGUUUCAUGUUCAUUA